AGCCCAGCAACACCCCUUCCCAGCAACACAGCUCCGAGAUGUUCACCCCCCACGCACCCUCUCCCCACCACCACAGCCCAGCUACCCCCCCUCCUCAGCAACACAGCCCCAGCACCCAGCAGCCAGACCCACCAAGGAGUGUCAGAACAGUGGCAGAGGUAAUUGGGUCAAGCUCAGAUAGCCAGGUGGAUGUUGUGUCUUCCCCUCCCGACAGACAGCUCACCCCAGAUCUAAAGAGGGCUUUCAGGCCCCCCCCCAGCUCAGCCAACACCCUCAGUAACAAGCUGACCAGACAGAUCAUAAGGAAGUGAGGAUAACCUUUUAUAUGCAUUUUGUUUGUGUCUUAAUGGAGUUUUUUGUGUGUCUUGUACGCUGUGAUAACUCCCACUGACCUGGCCGUGCUGGAAAGUUAGUGACAGAUGAGAUUGUGAAAAUGAAGGGAAUUAUGUGUGUUGUGGUUGGUGUGUGGCAUCAAGACAAAGAGGAGUUAAAAGUUGUAGCGCCUGAGUCGGCCAUGCAUUAUCGUGCCCUGGCAGCCUGCUGUCAUGACGCACGUACAAGUUUACUAAUAUGAUAGCCUGCACAGGAAGCAGUCUUCAGUAUCAGUAAUAUGCAGGUAGCUGUUUUGUUACUUUAUAAGGUCCCUGACUAAGUGCUGGGCUUCGCAGAGAAAAGGUCAACAAACAGCCGUCUGGGACAUUAAUAAUUUGAAACUCCAAAUCAACAUUAACGGAUGGCAUUAUUUUUUACUGCCUGCAUAUUAUUAUUUCUGAUAGUUAUUUCCUCUGCAUAGACUCUAAUAUACUAUUCACGAAAAUGACACAUCACAGGGCAGCAGGUUGCCAGAGCACGAUAAUGCACUCCUCAGACUUGGGCGCUGCGGCUGAAGUGACUGACCACGAAACACACACACCACAUCAAUUCACUUCAGCAUUGCGUUGGGGUGGCCAGGACGGGAGGGCCAGUGCCAGACAGUUUUGGUUUAGAACUUGCUUGUAUGAAGGUGUUUUAAAAUUGUUCUUAUUUUCUUCCAUGAGUGAAUUCUAAGCCUUGGGCAAAAGAAAAAAAUGAAAAACCUUGAAUUGUCAGGUCUGUUUGGAAUGCCCCCCUGUCCUGGCUAUCCCAGCUUAUAGCCAUUACUUUUAUUCUUCAACUGACAUGUUCCUACGUACCGGUUUCUUUUCCAAAUAGAUAUAUAUAUAUUUUUAACAGUGUAUUAAUGAAUCCUUCCCUGAGAGGCGUCACAUUCCCACACCCUGCACUGAGCUGAGUGUGGUGGGCGGCGGAGACACCAGACGCCUCACGCACCAACAGCCAGUCAGAAGCGUCCUUACUUACUCAGCCAGGAGCAAAGAAUCCAGCUUGAGGGAUUGGACCAGUCACGGCAUUACACUUACUACAGCAUCACCACUACCUUGGACAGUACUGACGGCUGACUUAGGAGAGAGAGAGAGCAUGAGGGGAAGACUUUACCAGGACACACAGCCAUGCACUACACUGAAUGGACUAUUGUACUCUAGCAUCACCACUACCUUGGACAGUACUGACAGCCGACUUAGGAGAGAGAGCACGUGGAGAAGACUUUAGCCAGCAUUCUUAAACAUCUCGGCACCUCAGAUAACCAGUUUGAAAAGUCUCUCCCAUAGAAGUUGCAGAGAUACUUAUAGACUGCUUUGUUUCCCAGUGAUAGUUUUACCCAACUUCACAAAUACAUUACACGAUAAAGGAUUACGUUAAGGAGUCGGAGUCGGGGGUAUUUUUACCGACUCCGACCAAAAGUAGCCAACUCCACCGACUUUUGACUCCACACCCCUGGUUAAAACUCACCCGACAAAACCUCCGCUCUCACCCGACUACUCAGCGCUGCGUAUCGCCCCCACACGCUGCCGGCUACUUCCAAAACAACAGGUGAGGUUACUACAAGGUUUUAAUGCAUAGCUAUUUACAUACAACUUGGUAGGAAUGUGAAAAUAAGAGGAUAAUACUACAUACAAUUUGAUAGGAAUGUAGAUUAAAUUACUAGGGAUUAAAAUUUACAUACAAUGACAACCGUUAAAGAUGAGAUUGCUUGAGAUUGCCGGGUUAAAAUCUCACACAUACAAAUAAUGAGUAUGUGAGAGGAUGAGAUUUCUAGGUAGGCAUAUAAACUUACAGACAACUUAGCAGGAAUGUAGAUUAAAUUACCGGAGGAAAGAAUUUAGAUGCAACGGCAGGAAUGUGAAAAAAAUAUGAGAUUGCUUGCGUUGAGAUUUCCAAAGUUUAUAAAAAUGUGAAAAUACGAGAUUGUUGACGAAAAAACUCUACAUACGGUUUGACAGGAAUGUGAAGAAAAUAAAUCACUAGAGAAUAAGAGAAAGUGAUAUUAAAUUACUUAGGAUAUGAGUAUGGACAACUAAGAGAGGAGAAAAAGGGAAGAGAAGAGAAAAAGUGAUAUUAAAUUGCGAGGGAUAAGAGAAAGAGAGUGAAAAUAUGUAAAGAGAAUAAAUCACUAGAGAAUAAGAGAGUGAUAUUAAAUUACUUAGGAUAUGAGUAUGGACAACUAAGAGAGGAGAAAAAGGGAAGAGAAGAAAAUAAGUGAUAUUAAAUUGCGAGGGAUAAGAAUAUAGAGAACUUAGAGAAGAGAAAGAGAGUGAAAAUAUGAAGAGAAUAAAUCACUAGAGAAUGAUAAGAGAAAGUGAUAUUAAAUUACUUAGGAUAUGAGUAUGGACAACUAAGAGAGGAGAAAAAGGGAAGAGAAUAAGUGAUAUUAAAUUGCUAGGGAUAAGAAUAUAGAGAACUUAGAGAAGAGAAAGGGAGUGAAAAUAUGAGAG